rnacentral:rRNA from 1 species
UACGGAGGGUGCAAGCGUUGUUCGGAUUUACUGGGCGUAAAGCGCGCGCAGGUGGAUGAGCAAGUCGGAAGUGAAAUCUUGAGGCUCAACCUCGAGGCUGCUCCCGAAACUGUUCGUCUAGGGACUGGUAGAGGCUGGUAGAAUUCCCGGUGUAGCGGUGGAAUGCGUAGAGAUCGGGAAGAACAUCAGUGGCGAAGGCGGCCUGCUGGGCUGUUGCUGACGCUGAGGCGCGACAGCGUGGGGAGCAAACAGG